rnacentral:rRNA from 2 species
AUUGAACGCUGGCGGCAUGCCUUACACAUGCAAGUCGAACGGCAGCACGGGGGCAACCCUGGUGGCGAGUGGCGAACGGGUGAGUAAUACAUCGGAAUGUACCCAGUAGUGGGGGAUAACUAGUCGAAAGAUUAGCUAAUACCGCAUACGCACUAUGGUGGAAAGCGGGGGAUCGCAAGACCUCGCGCUAUUGGAGCAGCCGAUGUCCGAUUAGGUAGUUGGUGGGGUAAAGGCCUACCAAGCCUGCGAUCGGUAACUGGUCUGAGAGGACGACCAGUCACACUGGGACUGAGACACGGCCCAGACUCCUACGGGAGGCAGCAGUGGGGAAUUUUGGACAAUGGGGGAAACCCUGAUCCAGCAAUGCCGCGUGUGUGACGAAGGCCUUCGGGUUGUAAAGCACUUUUGGCGGGAACGAAACGGCGCUUUCUAAUACAGAGCGCUAAUGACGGUACCCGCAGAAUAAGCACCGGCUAACUACGUG